CAGUCGCCGCGGGAAAACGAAGGGGGCUAGCGUUGUUCGGAGUCACUGGGCGUAAAGCGCACGUAGGCGGAUACUUAAGUCAGGGGUGAAAUCCCGGGGCUCAACCUCGGAACUGCCUUUGAUACUGGGUAUCUUGAGUCCGGGAGAGGUUGGUGGAACUCCGAGUGUAGAGGUGAAAUUCGUAGAUAUUCGGAAGAACACCAGUGGCGAAGGCGGCCAACUGGCCCGGUACUGACGCUGAGGUGCGAAAGCGUGGGGAGCAAACAGGAUUAGAUACCCCCGUAGUCCCUGUCUCUUAUAC
rnacentral:rRNA from 1 species